CGGCGGCGGACGAUGGGAACUAGAUUGGUGGCGGCGGGCGACGUCGCGACUGGAGAAUCGGAACCUGGGACGCUUCUUGAAGCUGUACUGGGGUGUACCAGUGCUCGUGGCUGUCAAUGGCGUAGCGCCGUCAAGUCCAGGUCGACGGCGAGGAGCAUGCAGUCAUGGGAGGGUGGGCUUCGGGAGAGGAGGCACUUGCAGUUCUUGAAUAAGUUGCCGGCGAGGCAUUAGCUCCACACAACCUCCCUGGAGCCCUCAUCUUCCUCACCACAAUCUCCCUGAGACGCUGACUCCAUCCUCCAUAUUGCUGCAACCUCCUUGGCUCCCUCCUUUGCCUCGAUGUGACCUCCCCAACUAAGGUAGCAUAGCCAGCCUCCUUCUUGUCCAAUUUUUUACAUACUGUGCUUGUGUUGCAUCUCCUAUAUUGCAAUGUGCAACGGUAGGUAGGCAAGGAAAUACAUUAAUUUUCAGAAGCUAAUUUGGUUGGUAUUUUGGUUGUUGUAGACCCAAGAAAGUAGUUCAUCUUAAUUAUGUGGUUGGUAUUUUCAGAAACAAGUUCAUCUUGUCAGUAAGCUCAUAAUUCACUUGGUUUCAGCACUACAUCUUCUUUUAAAAUAUUGGAUUCAUCACUUGAUUAUUUCUGACAAAAGUUUGGCAAUAGAUCCAAUUGAUAGGUUUGUAGAAGUUUAUGCAUCGAUCGCCUUGUUGUGGUUGUCGAUGCCUGCCUGGUUGACCUCACCUUUUGGAUGAAGUUAUAUUUUUGCUGGUAAAGUUUUGUUUGCUGAACAAAGGCAGAAGCUGCCUGUUGUGUUGAACUGUUAAAAUAAACUUGGUUGAUCAUCCAAAGCUUCUAAUUAAGUAGAAUGUUCAUCUUGUUAGGGUUCUUGGAGGGACUGAAAAUUGGCUGGAUGCAUGUUCAUCUUUACCAAAAGAAAAAUGUUCACAUGUUACAUGAUCAGGUUCUUGGUUUUACAAUGUAUAUACCCUUUUUCUUUUCCCGGUCCUUGACUUGCAGCAUGUAUUACUACUUUGGUUCAUUCUUGCAUGCAGCAGUAGUGUUACAAGGAUAUGUUUGUAUGUUAGGACUAUUUUCUCAAGUGAUUUUUGUUGUUCUUUUGUUCAAUACAUGGAUCUCUUUGUAUGUUAGAUGGAUAUGCUAGGACCAUUACAUGAUCUGUUUGUAUGAAGCCUUCUUGUUGCUCUGCACAUGCAUUUUGUUAUUUAGAGCGCAAAGAUACAAGUUCUGCUGGAAGCACUUUAAGAGUGGCUCAAAUCCUUGCUAUUUGUUUUCUUCAUCUCCUCAAAUCCUUCCCAUUUGUAAUGUCUCAUUGAUCUUGUCGCAAAAAACUGAGCUUUUAAUGAGUUUGUUAUAUGUUUA